UGCAGUCGAGCGGACAGAAGGGAGCUUGCUCCCGGAUGUUAGCGGCGGACGGGUGAGUAACACGUGGGUAACCUGCCUGUAAGACUGGGAUAACUCCGGGAAACCGGAGCUAAUACCGGAUAGUUCCUUGAACCGCAUGGUUCAAGGAUGAAAGACGGUUUCGGCUGUCACUUACAGAUGGACCCGCGGCGCAUUAGCUAGUUGGUGAGGUAACGGCUCACCAAGGCGACGAUGCGUAGCCGACCUGAGAGGGUGAUCGGCCACACUGGGACUGAGACACGGCCCAGACUCCUACGGGAGGCAGCAGUAGGGAAUCUUCCGCAAUGGACGAAAGUCUGACGGAGCAACGCCGCGUGAGUGAUGAAGGUUUUCGGAUCGUAAAGCUCUGUUGUUAGGGAAGAACAAGUGCAAGAGUAACUGCUUGCACCUUGACGGUACCUAACCAGAAAGCCACGGCUAACUACGUGCCAGCAGCCGCGGUAAUACGUAGGUGGCAAGCGUUGUCCGGAAUUAUUGGGCGUAAAGGGCUCGCAGGCGGUUUCUUAAGUCUGAUGUGAAAGCCCCCGGCUCAACCGGGGAGGGUCAUUGGAAACUGGGAAACUUGAGUGCAGAAGAGGAGAGUGGAAUUCCACGUGUAGCGGUGAAAUGCGUAGAGAUGUGGAGGAACACCAGUGGCGAAGGCGACUCUCUGGUCUGUAACUGACGCUGAGGAGCGAAAGCGUGGGGAGCGAACAGGAUUAGAUACCCUGGUAGUCCACGCCGUAAACGAUGAGUGCUAAGUGUUAGGGGGUUUCCGCCCCUUAGUGCUGCAGCUAACGCAUUAAGCACUCCGCCUGGGGAGUACGGUCGCAAGACUGAAACUCAAAGGAAUUGACGGGGGCCCGCACAAGCGGUGGAGCAUGUGGUUUAAUUCGAAGCAACGCGAAGAACCUUACCAGGUCUUGACAUCCUCUGACAACCCUAGAGAUAGGGCUUUCCCUUCGGGGACAGAGUGACAGGUGGUGCAUGGUUGUCGUCAGCUCGUGUCGUGAGAUGUUGGGUUAAGUCCCGCAACGAGCGCAACCCUUGAUCUUAGUUGCCAGCAUUUAGUUGGGCACUCUAAGGUGACUGCCGGUGACAAACCGGAGGAAGGUGGGGAUGACGUCAAAUCAUCAUGCCCCUUAUGACCUGGGCUACACACGUGCUACAAUGGACAGAACAAAGGGCUGCGAGACCGCAAGGUUUAGCCAAUCCCAUAAAUCUGUUCUCAGUUCGGAUCGCAGUCUGCAACUCGACUGCGUGAAGCUGGAAUCGCUAGUAAUCGCGGAUCAGCAUGCCGCGGUGAAUACGUUCC
rnacentral:rRNA from 1 species